rnacentral:misc_RNA from 1 species
GAUGAAGAACGCAGCGAAAUGCGAUAAGUAGUGUGAAUUGCAGAAUUCCGUGAAUCAUCGAAUCUUUGAACGCACAUUGCGCCUUCUGGUAUUCCGGAAGGCAUGCCUGUUCGAGAGUCAUUAACAACCGUUUCGAUCCCUUUCUUUCAGAAAUUACAAAGAGGAAAAGGGUUUGGUUAUGGUGGAGGAGGGAAAGGGAGCGUUUAGCCUGUAAAAAAAGAGGCUGUGUUCCGCCUCCCCCCCAAAAUUGUACAGGCGGUCGUGUGCGCCCACGCAUCGAGGUGUUGUAAAAGCUGCCACGGCACUUUUCACCUGUGCAGUGCGAGAUUGGCCAGCCGGUUUAAAAACCCCUCCAAACAAUCAAAGGUUGACCUCGGAUCAGGUAGGGAUACCCGCUGAACUUAAACAUAUCAAUAAGCGGAGGA